UACAGAGGUCCCAAGCGUUGUUCGGAUUCACUGGGCGUAAAGGGUGCGUAGGCGGUCGGGUAAGUCUGACGUGAAAUCUUCAAGCUUAACUUGGAACUGCGUCGGAUACUAUUCGGCUGGAGGAAUGGAGGGAGACUGGAAUACUUGGUGUAGCAGUGAAAUGCGUAGAUAUCAAGUGGAACACCAGUGGCGAAGGCGAGUCUCGUGGACAUUUCCUGACGCUGAGGCACGAAAGCCAGGGGAGCAAACGGG
rnacentral:rRNA from 1 species